AUAGUCCCGAGGCUCUGUCUGGCAAGACCAGAAGCUCUGCACCUAGCAGAUGCCGCCAUAGUCCCGAGGCACCGUCUGGCAAGGCUGCCCUCAACGCAAAACAGGU